rnacentral:lncRNA from 1 species
UUGUAGUCUGACCGAGAGAAGUUCCUUAGUUGGAACUCACCCUUAGCCAAUGGAAUUUUUGGUAGGGGUUCCUAGGUUGGAACUCGUCCUUACUGGAAUGUUUUAGUUUGAUCGGAAGGGGUCCUUAGUUGGAACUAGCCCUUACCCAACAGAGUCUUCGGGAGGAGUUCCUUGGUUGGAACUCGCCCUUACUUGAAGGUUUUAAUCCGAUCGGGAGGGGUUCCUCAGUUGGGGGUUGAGGAGGAAGAUGGGUCACAAAUUAGAGGUGUUGAUGUGAAGGGGAGACACAAUUAGAGCAUGAAGCAAUUGCUAAGAACCUUGG